rnacentral:rRNA from 1 species
ACGGACGGACCUCUGGUGUGCCAGUUGUCCCGCCAGGGGCACGGCUGGUUGGCUACGUUCGGUCGGGAUAACCGCUGAAAGCAUCUAAGCGGGAAGCCUUCCUCGAGAUGAGUUCUCCCACCCCUUUUGUGGGUGUAAGGCCCCCGGUAGACGACCGGGUUGAUAGGCCGGAGAUGGAAGCGCGGUAACGUGUGGAGUCGACCGGUACUAAUAGGCCGAGUGGCUUGAACACAC